AAUCAUGUCAGAUUCAAUGUGUUGCUACUGUCCAGAGAAGUCAAAAGCAGCCUGAGAAGCAGACCUGGAUAAGGUCAGCAACUGGUCUUCUGCGGAGAGAUACAGAGGUGAGUAAGCAAGUUUUCCAGCAUCAGCAGAGGGUGGAGAAGGCGAGGGAGAUAGCACAGACACCGCACCUCUGCAUAGAUUCACAUCUGGACGCGAUGAGCACCCGCCAGGCGGAAAACUCACAGGUGGCCCGGAGCCGCCGAGGAGGGAGGCGCGCGCUCCGCCCCGGGCCGCGGGAAGUCGCUCUCCUCAGCGGCCGCGCGACGAGCGGGCUGGGGGCGCUGCACGCCGCUCCUCGCCGCUGCUUGCUUGCUCGCCUCGCCUCGCGCGAGCCCGGCUCCCGCCCGCCCUUCCUCCCGCCCGGCUCGCGCCGCCGCCGGCCAAUGCGGGCCGCAGCGAGGAGCCGGCUUUAACCAUCUGUUGCGAGGCGCCUCCUCCUAGCGCUGCCGCCUCCCUUGCGGGGGGCUCCCGCCCAGGCACCCCUCCGAGGAGACAGAGAGCGAGGGGAGAGCUUUAUGCCUCGCUAAGGUGCUCUCUGCCCCCCGGAGCCUUCGGGGGCCGCGGCUGUUGCCCGUCUCCCUUCCCCCACGCGCCUCGCGCUCCCAUCCCCCCGUCCCCUCAGCGCCCUUCCCGCCGUCCGCUCGCCUCAGGGCGGUCCCUCCUGAGUGCCUUCGCUGUGAGGUACCAAAGAUACGUGUAAGGAGAUGCUCUUCACACAAGUACUUUGCAUGCUGUCAAUAUAUAGACAUCAGAGAAAGAAUGGCUAGGACUGGAGCAAUCCGGAGACAAAAAACUGCCCCCAGAAGCAGUCAGCGAAAAUACAAAUAAUUUGUUCAGUUGUACAAGUCUUGACAGAACCCAAAAGCAUAUACAGUCUUCACAGGUAGCUGUUGAUUGCUGAGACAGAGAGAAAGAAACAUACAAUACAAAACCC
rnacentral:lncRNA from 1 species